CAAUAGCGUAUAUUAAAGUUGUUGCGGUUAAAAAGCUCGUAGUUGGAUUUCUGCCGAGGAUGACCGGUCCGCCCUCUGGGCUGGUAUCUGGCUCAGCCUUGGCAUCUUCCUGAAGAACGUAGCUGCACUUCACUGUGUGGUACGGUAUUUAGGACAUUUACUUUGAGGAAAUUAGAGUGUUUCAAGCAAGCGCACGCCUUGAAUACAUUAGCAUGGAAUAAUAAGAUAGGACUUUGGUGCUAUUUUGUUGGUUGAGCCUAAAGUAAUGAUUAAUAGGGAUAGUUGGGGGCACCUGUAUUGCGUUGUCAGAGGUGAAAUUCUUGGAUUUACGCAAGACAAACAGCUGCGAAAGCGUCUGCCAAGGAUGUUUUCAUUAA
rnacentral:rRNA from 1 species